CUUAAAGGAAUUGACGGGGCCGCACAAGCGGCGGAGCAUGCGGAUUAAUUCGAUGCAACGCGAAGAACCUUACCAAGGCUUGACAUACACCGGUAACGCCCAGAGAUGGGUGCCCCUUUGUGGUCGGUGGACAGGUGGUGCAUGGUUGUCGUCAGCUCGUGUCGUGAGAUGUUGGGUUAAGUCCCGCAACGAGCGCAACCCUCGUCCUAUGUUGCCAGCAUUAAGUUGGGGACUCAUAGGAGACUGCCGGCGUCAAGCCGGAGGAAGGUGGGGAUGACGUCAAGUCAUCAUGCCCCUUAUGUCCUGGGCUGCACACGUGCUACAAUGGCCGGUACAAUGGGCUGCGAUGCCGCGAGGCGGAGCGAAUCCCAUAAAACCGAUCCCAGUUCGGAUCGGAGGCUGCAACCCGCCUCCGUGAAGUCGGAGUUGCUAGUAAUCGCGGAUCAGCAUGCCGCGGUGAAUACGUUCCCGGGCCUU
rnacentral:rRNA from 1 species